rnacentral:rRNA from 1 species
UACGUAGGCAGCGAGCGUUGUUCGGAGUUACUGGGCGUAAAGCGUGCGUAGGCGGGGCUCCAAGUCUGUUGUGAAAUCUCUCGGCUUAACUGGGAGGGUGCGGCGGAAACUGGGUGCUGGAGUGCGGGAGAGGUAAGCGGAAUUCCCGGUGUAGCGGUGAAAUGCAUAGAUAUCGGGAGGAACACCUGCGGUGUAGACGGCUUACUGGACCGUAACUGACGCUGAGGCACGAAAGCGUGGGGAGCAAACAGG